AUGUCUGCAGGGCUGUGCCCUGAGGCCACUUUUGCUAGAAGUGACAUUUCUGGAACCAGAGGGAGCACACAACUGUUCUUGAAAUUGAAGGUGUUUAUGCCCGAGAUGAAACUGAAUUUUAUUUGGGAAACAGAUGUACUUAUGUGUGCAAAGAACAACACAGUGGCCCUGGCAGCAAAUCAAACAAAACCAGAGUCAUCUGGGGAAAGGUAACUUGUGCCCAAGGAAAGAACAGCGUGGUUUGUGCCAAGUUCCAAAGCCACCCUCCUGCUAAGGCCAUUGGGCACAGAAUCCAUGUGAUGCUGUACCACUGGAGGAUUCAA
rnacentral:lncRNA from 1 species